rnacentral:rRNA from 1 species
UACAACUUUCAGCAACGGAUGUCUUGGCUCCCACAACAAUGAAGAACGCAGCGAAAUGCGAUACGUAAUGCGAAUUGCAAGACCUCGUGAAUCACAGAGAAUUUGAACGCACAUUGUGCUCUCGGGUUCGUCCCGGAAGCGUG